rnacentral:rRNA from 1 species
GACGAACCGUGCGAACGUUAUUCGGAAUCACUGGGCUUAAAGCGCGUGUAGGCGGGACGGCACGUCGGUCGCUGAAAUCCCCCGGCUCAACCGGGGAACGGGCGCCGAUACGACCGGCCUGGAGGGGCGUAGGGGGACCUGGAACUUCCGGUGGAGCGGUGAAAUGCGUUGAGAUCGGAAGGAACGCCCGUGGCGAAAGCGGGGUCCUGGACCCUUUCUGACGCUGAGACGCGAAAGCCAGGGGAGCGAACGGG